rnacentral:hammerhead_ribozyme from 1 species
GAGGAGUCCCAUAAUAGGACGAAACGGCCGUCCAGUGC